rnacentral:rRNA from 1 species
AUGCAAGUUUUGAUGAUCCGUACAGCUGUGCGUGAGUCUGCGGAGGCGACCAUGGUACGUUUCUUUGAGGGAUUAGAAGAAAAGAUUCGUGACCGUGUUGAUUUAAUGCAAUAUAAUGAUAUUCAUGAGUUGCUUCAUCAAGCGGAGCGUGCUGAACGUUGGGUAUUGGAGAAGCAAGCUUCAGAGACUCGUCCAACUUACAACAGUGGGCGACGUGGUUUUUCUCCUAUUGAUGGUGGGUUUAGUGCUAAACCGACUCCUUAUAAGUCGGGAAGCAUUGAACAUAGCAAAGUGGCGGCUGCGCCAAAGGAGGUUUCUCAGGUUUCGUCUAGUGCGACGUCAUCGCAUCACCAUAAUAUUAUUUGCCACAAGUGUGGAGGACGUGGACACAUGAAGCAUGAAUGUUCCAAUCAACGAAGGGUUCUACUUGUUGAUGCGGAAUAUAUUUCAGAGUCUGAAGAUGAGUCGCCUAAGUUAGAGGAUGGAAUCGAAAGAGGUCAUGGUAAUACCAUACUGUGUUAUCCUCAAGAUGAUCCUGAUAUGGAGAGUUUGCUAGCACACAAGGUCCAGCGAGAUGACAAGGUCAUUUUUGAACCAGGACAACGACGGAGUAUUUUUCAAACUGCAUGUACCAUCAAGGGAGAAGUGUGCAAACUGAUAAUUGAUGGUGGCAGUGCUAGCAACAUGAUUAGUAAGGAUGUGGUGGAGUCUCUUUCGUUGCCAACAUGGGAGCAUCCAAAACCAUACUAUAUGAAGUGGAUAAAUGAUGUAGGCAAAGUGAAAGUACCACACAGGGUGAAGGUGCCUUUUUCUGUUGAUGGCUAUGUUGACAAAGUGGAAUGCGACGUUAUGCCACUACAUGUCUGUCAUCUUAUUUUGGGGCGUCCGUGGCAGCACGAUGUUAAUGCUCUUCAUCAUGGACGAACAAACAAGUACACUUUUAUGCAUAAGGGAGAGUUCUAUGCCAUUCUUCCCAAAGAUGAAAAGAAUAUAACGUGUACUGUUGAGGUCUUCAAGAAAAAUUCUGCAAGGUAUAGGUUGAAACCGAGAACGAUUUCUUUUCAAUGA